rnacentral:rRNA from 1 species
CCUACGGGAGGCAGCAGUGGGGAAUAUUGGGCAAUGGGCGCAAGCCUGACCCAGCAACGCCGCGUGAAGGAAGAAGGCUUUCGGGUUGUAAACUUCUUUUCUGAGGGACGAAGGAAGUGACGGUACCUCAGGAAUAAGCCACGGCUAACUACGUGCCAGCAGCCGCGGUAAUACGUAGGUGGCAAGCGUUAUCCGGAGUUAUUGGGUGUAAAGGGCGUGUAGGCGGGAAAGCAAGUCAGAUGUGAAAACUCAGGGCUCAACGCUGAGCCUGCAUUUGAAACUGGUUAUCUUGAGUGCUGGAGAGGAUAGCGGAAUUCCGGGUGUAGCGGUGAAAUGCGUAGAUAUACGGAGGAACACCAGUGGCGAAGGCGAAUUGCUGGACAGUAACUGACGCUGAGGAGCGAAAGCGUGGGGAGCAAACAGGAUUAGAUACCCGAGUAGUC